rnacentral:sRNA from 1 species
CAGUAACCACUUUGGUUCAAG